CAGUCGCCGCGGUAAUACGUAGGUGGCAAGCGUUGUCCGGAAUUAUUGGGCGUAAAGGGCUCGUAGGCGGCUUCUUAAGUCUGAUGUGAAAGCCCUCGGCUCAACCGAGGAGGGUCAUUCGAUACUGAGAAGCUAGAGUGCAGGAGAGGAGGGUAGAAUUCCACGUGUAGCGGUGAAAUGCGUAGAGAUGUGGAGGAAUACCAAUGGCGAAGGCAACUCUCUGGUCUGUAACUGACGCUGAGGUACGAAAGCGUGGGGAGCAAACAGGAUUAGAUACCCCUGUAGUCCCUGUCUCUUAUAC
rnacentral:rRNA from 1 species